UCUGCACCUGCCAUGGCGGUUGGGCUCAUGUGCUCCUCUGCAUUGGAGUUAGCCAAGGAGCGUGUGCAGAACACUUGCCUCGUAGGCCAGCCGUAAGGAAGGAUGUCCCAGGUGCAGGCGAAGUUUUGUUCAUGUGUUCCUGGAGGAUUUUUCCCGUGGCAAGCGCUUCUCCAUCCUCCAGCAUCUCAGGCCUGUGCACCAGCCUUCCUGUGCCCGUUGAUGGACUGAGAGGAAGAUGAGCCCUUAGGAUGCCUGCCAUGCUCACUGUUAAGGAACAACAGGUGACCCCACUGGACUGACCACCCAAUGAGGCCUUUGAACCUCAGGCCAGGGAGAGGCAGGUCUACAGGUGACAACUGUGAACAGCCCCAGCUGGGGACAACCAGAAAUCCCCAAGGCGACGAGUGGCUGAAAGUGAUGGAGCCCCCAGGCAGAGCCGAAACCCCACUGCAGGCUGAGCUGGGCACACUUGGGACACG
rnacentral:lncRNA from 1 species